rnacentral:rRNA from 1 species
AGUGAACGCUGGCGGUAGGCCUAACACAUGCAAGUCGAACGGCAGCACAGUAAGAGCUUGCUCUUACGGGUGGCGAGUGGCGGACGGGUGAGGAAUACAUCGGAAUCUACUUUUUCGUGGGGGAUAACGUAGGGAAACUUACGCUAAUACCGCAUACGACCUACGGGUGAAAGCAGGGGAUCUUCGGACCUUGCGCGAUUGAAUGAGCCGAUGUCGGAUUAGCUAGUUGGCGGGGUAAAGGCCCACCAAGGCGACGAUCCGUAGCUGGUCUGAGAGGAUGAUCAGCCACACUGGAACUGAGACACGAUCCAGACUCCUACGGGAGGCAGCAGUGGGGAAUAUUGGACAAUGGGCGCAAGCCUGAUCCAACCAUACCGCGUGGGUGAAGAAGGCCUUCGGGUUGUAAAGCCCUUUUGUUGGGAAAGAAAAGCAGCAGGUUAAUACCCCGCUGUUCUGACGGUACCCAAAGAAUAAGCACCGGCUAACUUCGUG